CUAUGAACCACUAUUGGUUUGCACAGUAUUAAAUGUUUGGAAAAUAGCAAAUGAAGAAUGUCUGAUACAUGAAAUUGGCAUGAAGUUCAAUUUCGAUGUCCAUAACUAAAACUUUAUUGGCACACAGCCCUGCUCGUCACCUUGUGUCCCCUCCAUGGCUGUUUGCAGGCUACAAAGGCAGGGGGAUGGGCUCGGUGAUUGAAUCUGUCAGGAUGCAGAGCAGACUCUCUGAGAUGGUUCCCAUCGGGCUCGGCCAAAAGGCAUGUGUGAGCACCAUUGUUUGUGUCCUCAUGAUGAGCUGAGCUGGAGACCAUGCCAGCUGGAUGGCUGAUUAGUUACAGGGUCCCUUUGUGUUGUGACAACUCAGAAAAUGUCACCAGGUGCUGCCACCCAUAUGACCCCCAAAUCCCUCAGAGGGAACUGUGUCAUUGAGGAAGGAGUUAAUAGCGGCCAUUAUCAUCGGAAACCUUACUUAAGCCCUCGUUCUUAUUAACAAAUCACUUUGUUAUAAUUGGAUGCAUAGUAUACAAGGUCGAAAUCCAUAUUUGCAUCCUUGUGUUGGAAGGUAGUCAAUUCUGACUCAUCCAUCUUUCCUCAGAGUCACAGAUACCUCAUAAGCAAGCAUCUCUGUGUGGUUUUUUGGUUUGCACAGGUGCUGUUCAGCCUGGUCCAGCCUUCACGUCAAUGAUUCAUUCAGCUAGUGUUAAAUGCCUUUUCCAACCCACCUAAAAUUAUGGGCUGGUCUAAGGGGAAUGGAGUUGGGCAGAGAUAAGCACAGGCCUGGGCUGUGACACACUGUGAUGUUGUGAUUUAUAAGAAGAAACAGAUAUUUGGUCUUCAUCCUUGGACCUAGCACAGAACUCCGAAGCCCCGGAGAGUCCAGGAUGUGCUUGGAGUUAGCCCUAAAAGUAUCUUUGUUAUGUUAACGAGGUGACUUUGGACCUAAGGGAAAGGUGGGACUGGUUGCCAGGGCAACCAACCCUGUAAAGGAGGGUUAGAACUCUCCUGCUUUUCAGGGAGGGAAGAAGGAUUGGAGGCCAGAAUCCAUCACCAGGGGCCAUUGAUUUCAUCCAUUGUGCCUCUGUAACAAAGCCUCAUAAAAACCCAGGGGACUGGGUUCAGGGAGCUUCUGGGUACUUGGGAAGAGCAGUGGCUCUGCCAGAGCGUAGAAGCUUCGUGCCCUUCCCCCUGCCCUGCCUGUGAGUCUUCCAUCUGGCUAUUCCUGAGCAAAUAGCCUUUUAUACUAAGCUGGUACCCAAGUAAGUAAGCUGUUUCUUUGGGUUCUGCGUGCCACGCUAACAAACUAAUCAAACCCAAGGGUCGUUGAAUCUCCAACCUGGAGUCAGUUGGCGAGAACCUGGGCUUGCAUUUGGCAUCCGGAGCAGAGACUAAGCCCUGAGACUUGGGAAUCUGAGGAAUCUGAGGCCAUCUCCAAGCAGACAGUGUCAGAAUUGAGCCGAAUGGGCGGACCCUGAGCUGGUAUUGCUGAGUGUUGCUGGUGGGGUUGGGGAAACGCCCCAGAUACGCACACAUUGGACCUGAGCUAUCAGAACCACCUUUAAUAGACACUCAGCCUUGAGAAAUGACUUCUGGAGUCUCCGCAUGUGAGUAGACUUUCUUUGGCAACUCUGUGGGUUUCGUCUCCUGUCCCCCGAAAUAGCACAGUUAAGCAUCGUCCUUAUCCUUCAACGUGGCAUGAUAACACAUUCAAUUAUUACUUUUCCCUCAGCUUUCAAGGUCAAGCUAAGCCCUUCCUCAGAAAGCCCCCUUUCCAGGAGCUCCUGCAGCUGGACCACCCUCCUCUGAACACAUCGCGGCCUGUGGGGUUUGGUGUGGAGAACAGAAUGGAACAGAACUCCUUGGGCACUGAUUAGUUCUGGGCUCUUCACAGACACCGCUGAGUAUCUGACUUCAUUACGCACUUUCUCAGCACCUGUUUUCUUGGCAAAACAUUAAAAAUGAACACAAAGGCCAAUCGGGCUGGUACCUUCUUGGCCCAGGAUUCUACCCAACUCUUUGUUAAUUUACAGGGGAAUUUGUAAGGACUUUCAACUCAAGCUUCACUCUUUCCCACAAAUGUGGUGCGAGGUAUCUUUUAAGGUGAAAGCACAGUUCUUCUUUUCAAGCUACCUCAUGCGGUGCAAAUAAAAAGCUUGAUUAAAAACUGAAACUAGGAGUUCCCAGAUGGUGCAGCAUAUGAAAGAUCUAGCGUUGUCACUGCUGCCACGUGGAUCCCUGCUGUCCACAGGUUUGACCCCCUGGGUUGGGAACUUCCACAUGCCACGGGUGUGGCCGCAAAAAUCCCUGAAAUUAUUUCACAGUUUGUACUGUGGAAGAGCCAAACUCUGGCAAAUUCAACAGAAUUAGGAUGUACUGAUUUCAAGACAUGUUGCUCUUGAAGGCCUUCAGGGGUUAAUGCUGCACUGAGUGUUUCAUGUUGAUGCUGCCUCUUUGUUUUGGGCUGGAAAAUGAGGACAAGCAGCAAUUGCUUUGUUAUUUCUGAACCGAUCCCAAUGGGGAACGUGCUGUAAGCACCACCAAGGAAAGGAACCUAGGACUUGAUUGGAACGAAAGUGGUUCAAAAUACACAUGGGAAAGAGCAAGGUAACGUUGAGCCUGGAUGACUCGAGCUUACGGAUCCAGGGACCAGCAACUCAGAUCACCAGCCAUCAGCAGGGGAAAUGCUUUAAAAGCCAUAAGCAGCCGUGCUGGGAAAGACGGGUUAGAUUGCAGAAUAGAUAGGGGUUUGAAUGGGAAAGAGGAGGAUCCAGAGUGACUUCAGCUGUAACCAAGGAAUCAUUGUACCCUGAGGUCAGACAAUCCUUCUGUCUAGCAUACCAGUGAGGCUGAGGCUCUCGGUGGACAGAAAUGAGCUCCGUGUACCUCAAAGGCAUAAAGAUGUGAUAAAACCUGCGGUGAUCCGGAAGUGUGAAGCGCGGAGGGCGAAAAGCAUUUGCUUAGCAGGCCUUUUAAAGGAACAGGGUCCACGUGAAGAGGCCAGCCUCCUCCUCUUCUGAUCUUUUUCAGAGCCUGUUUUCCCAAGAGCACAGUAUUAUGCGAAUUAUCUAAUUGCAUGCAAAUGAUGGCGUCAGCCUCAGAGCAGGAGCAAUUUGCAUUCCUAUCUCUCCCGGUGAAGCCUCUGCUUCCCAGUGUUGGGGAGCUGGGCAGAGGCAGGAGAUGGGCUGAUCUGAUUCCCUGAAUGGGCAGCGUCUGAGUUUGCAAGUCGGAAAGGGGUGUCACAUUGAGAACGCGUGUGUUUCAAGACAAGUGGUUUAAGGCUGGUGCCUUUUUGCACACACAGGGCAGCCUAUUCCUUUGUACAAGACAGAUGCCUCAAUGGCCUGCACUGCCAAUAUUCCAGAUUCCCUGCCCAACUGCAACAAUAAUGUCCUUUCAAAUUUUAAUAACACCUGUCACCCAGGGGACUCAUGACACGCCUCCAGUUUCAUUACAUGCCGCGUUUCCAUUAGGCUGGUUGUCUUUCUCAUUCUCUGCCAGAGAAGGAUCGUGGGAGGGGUGUGCAAAUUGGCUAAUAUUAUGAUUCAAACUAGUUAAAUUUUUAAGCUACCCUGUGUAAGAAUUAGACUCGCAGUUCCCUCCACAUUGGUUCAUCGUAUGUCUCGUAAGCAUGUUGAGUUUUACGGAACAGAACCUUGACAGCUGACGCCUUUAAAGAAGGUGGACUGUGACUGUGCUUCGCCCUUCCAAUAGAAGCAGGAAGGAAAGUCUUAUGUAUUCACGCUGGGCAUGAAGUCCUUCGCAUAAACUCUUUAUUAAUUUACAGGGGAUCCACAAGGACUUGGAGUUUACUCUCCCUGUUUCAAAAACACCGGGUUUCUCCAUGGAAUACUUUCUCCCUGGAGUUGAGAGCUGAAGGCAACGGGGCAACUGGGAUGGCUCGCAUGGGGAUAUUUCUGGGGGUCGUGGGUCCCUGGAUUCAGUGAACAAAAAUACUGCUGCUGAUGGAAGCAGGGGCGACUUCACCUCCACCCCUCCACGUGCCUUUAUUAACGGUAUAUUUCUGUUCCCUGCCAUCUCCCACCGCCUCCCCUCCUCCGCAGCUCCCUCUUCUGCUCAGGAGAGCCCAUAAUUGGAUAAGGGGUCUGUUUUUAAAUGGUUAGUGUUUAUUUUGAACAGAACAAACUCCGAAUUAUAUUCCAAUGAUAUAACUACUUUUAAGUUCUCUCAUAGCCUUAAAUUCUAAUGCGGUGUGUGUGUGUGUGCACAUGCGCGUGCGUGUGUGUGAUUUAUCUAAAAGCAUACCACCCAUUGGUCAGGUUAGUUAUUUCAUUGAAAGUGUGAACAAAGUGACCUUGAGUCCCUGAUGGAUUGGUUGUGUCAUCUUUACACAUGCAGCUGGGUGUGGGUGUGGGGGUGUGGGUGGGUGUGUGUAUAUUGGUGAGACAACUGUUGGUGGCUGGCAGUCUGGACUGGAUUUUUUUUUCCUUAACUCUUCUACAGUCAAAGCAACAGCAGGAGAAGCAGUAAGAAGGGCCGCUAGCAGCAAAAACGUGGACCCCUGCCAGGUGGUGCUGAGUGCCAGGCUCGCGAGAGUUUAAGGGCAUCCUGUGUUAUGGGCCCGUCACCAGCUUCAUUUUGGAGGUGAACAGACAGAGGCACCAAGAAGAACCUGAGGCUCUUCCCUGGCGCCCAUAGGCAGCAGGCGGGGCCAGGGUCUCUCUGAAGCCUCUGCGGUCAACCGUGGAAAGAACACGAACCCAGGGCACAGGGUAGCUGCACAGUUCGCAGGGCUCGGAGCAAUACGGGAUGAGGGACCCUCUUGUUCACAUCGCAUCAAGGAUUUCAUGCCAGUGACGUUAAAGGGGGCACCAGGUCCUUUAGGUGUGUAGCUGGGUGCCGCUGGGCAGACCUCGAGCCCUGAGCAGGCUCUGGGCUCUGUCACAUCCAGUGGCCCCAGGAUGGAAGGCCUUCCUUCUGCUUCCCCAGCUCAGUCGAUCAGCAGCAGAGGAGAAAGGCGUCUGUGUUCCCUGCGACCAAGAGACAACCUGACCAGUUUUACACGCAGGCAGAGUUCUGCUGUGGCCCAGAGGGUUACCGACCUGCUGGUAUCCGUGAGUCUGCUCCCUGCCUUCAGCAUGAAGAUUUCGCUUCUCUGAGGACCAUGCGACACACGGGUCUUGAGGCCUGGAGCUUGGAAAUUGUUCACUUCAGAGUUUCAGAGUUUGUUUGACAAAGAACUGAAGGUUUUCUAUUUGUCUUUAUAUUAAUUUUCACAAAUCAAGAAACUCCAGGUUCCUUCUUUGCUUGCUUUAUUUUAAGAGGUGCAAUUUCUAAUUUUUUUUCAUGGAAAAGCGUUUAGUGUGUUUAUUUUGGAUGCUCGUGCUGGUGCCUGCGAUCCAGGUCAGACAUCACAUCCAAGACGUUAAAGUGACAAUUGCUCCAGAUUCUUUGCUUUCCACUUCAUUGCACAGAAUCACGAAUUCUCCAUCUGUCCCCUGGAACAACCAUUUCAGGACACCUCCUACCAGAAGAGUCAAAACACUGAUCACCCAGCUUAGUUGCUCCCGACACCAGUACCAGAAAUAAGAACCCAUCAGUUGCAUCACCAGGAAGGUUGUUCUGUGCUUACCUUCCCUUAGCUAUCUUAAUUUGUGUGCGAAAUAGUUUAAAUGACACCUUGUCUUUUACUUGGUUAAAGUGAAAGUGGACCGAGAAUCUUACCCACCAUCUCUUCAUCUGCUGUUGGAUUUUGCUAAAGUGAAUUCCUUUAAUCCCCAAACUUAUGUGAAGCUACUUCUCAUCUAUAUUCUAUACCUGGAAUGUUGCUUAUAAAUUACAAAAGUAGCUUGUUUGGGUUGAUCAACUUCAAGAUAAUGCAAAUGUUCAACUUUGGGACGGGACAAGAGGGAGAUAAAUUCAGAGUCUGUGAUUAACAGGUACCUUCUACUCACAUUGUUAUUAUUGGUGGCAGCAGUCCGCCCCCAGUUUGCUCCUGUUGGGUCAGCAGAACGCCCUCCUCUCUGUCUGCUUGUCUGUCUGUCUGUCUUCCUCUCUCUCUCCUCUCUCACUCUCUCUCUCAAACCACUCCAUCUGGUAGAAGAAGCCGGCUGCCCUGUUGAAAGUACUGCGUGGCAAGUGCAUGGCAAGAAACAGACGUCUCUGGCCAAAGCCAGUGAGAACCGAGACCUAUCACGGGCACAGGGGCGAGCUCGGAAGCAGACCCUCCAGCCCCAGCGGACACUGACCCCUGCCUCGGCUGACGGCUGGGCUGCAAUCCCAUGAGAGGUUCUGAGCCAGAACCAGCCACGUAAACUGCUGCCAGGUGCAUGACUCCCCGAAACUAUAUGGGAUUAUAAUCAUGGUUUUAAGCUGUUAAGUUUCAGGGGCAAAUCCCUAUCUCACCUGUGGUACUUUGAUUCCACUAUCUCUUAGCAUAGCCUGGCCAAACUUUAUUCUAUACCCAGAUGACAAUAAUUCUCACAUCUUCACCACACCAUAUAAAAUCCUAACUCACCUUCAAAUCACUGUUCAGACACCAUCCUGCUCACCUCCCAAGAGCUCCCUUCCUUGGAGUGGAUUAUAAACGUUUGUGCUUAUUGAAAUUCUGGCUAGUUUAUACAAUUUUCUUUUAACAUAUGUGAAUUUUGAUUUCUCUUUAAGAUGAUGGAUUCUUAAAAUAGAAGGAUUUCUGAGAGCAGCUAGCUUAAUAUUGAAUAUACUGGAUUCACAUAAUUAAAUUCUGGUGAAUUAAGAGAUGCAUCGUGACCAAACAAAAGACACAUACUGUGUAGUGCUUUAGAGUCGACCACUAAUUUUCUCUCUCUCUCUUUUUUUUUUUUUUCUUUUGACUCUGCCUGUGGGAUGCAGGAGGUCCUGGGUCAGGAACUGAACCGGUGCCACUGCAGUGCCCCAAGCCACGGCAGUGACAACUCCAGCUCCCCAACCACUAGGCCACCAGGAAACUCCAGCCAUAAUUUUCAAAAGCACUAUCUCACUUAACCUUCCAACAAUCAUUCAGCUAGGAUAUUGUUAUGGGCCGAAUUGUGUCCAUCCCAAAUUCACAGCUUGAAGCCUAACCCUGGAUACUCAGAAUGCAAUUGCAUUUGGAGAUAGGGUGGUUGAGGGGUCAUUACGAUAAAAUCAGCUCCUGUGGGUGGUCCCUAAUCCAGCAUGAUCAGUGUUCUCAUGAGAAGAGAAGAUGAGGCUACAGACACACACCGCGGAAGAGCCUGUGAGGACACGGGGAAAGGACACCCACCUACAGGCCAAGGAGAGAGGCCUCAAAGGGGCAUCUUGACCUUGGCCUUCCAGCUUCCUGAAAUGUGAGAAAGCAAAGGUUCUGUGGCGCGAGCUGCCCCGUCUGCGGCCCUUGGUGAUGGCAGCGCUUCCAAAUUAACACAGACUUUUCCACAGCGAUGUAAUGAGACCAACACCUGCCUACUGAGGAGUAAGCCUGGACCGGGUCCAGGACUUCUGUCUCUUCAGGCCGAGGGC
rnacentral:lncRNA from 1 species